UGAAUACGAGACGCUAAGGCGUCGAAGUAGUGUAUGUCAUACUUCCAAGAAAAGCUUGCACUGUCAUAGAUAAAAAACGCCUGUACCAUAACCGACACAGGUGGGUAGGUAGAGUAUACUAAGGGGCGCGAGAUAACUCUCUCUAAGGAACUCGGCAAAAUAACUCCGUAACUUCGGGAGAAGGAGUGCCUUAUUCGUAAGGUUGCAAUAACAAGAUCCAAGCAACUGUUUAUCAAAAACACAGGUCUCCGCUAAGUCGUAAGACGAUGUAUGGGGGCUGACGCCUGCCCAGUGCCAGAAGGUUAAAGAAGUUGGUUAGCAAUUGCGAAGCUGAUAACUGAAGCCCUGGUGAACGGCGGCCGUAACAAUAACGGUCCUAAGGUAGCGAAAUUCCUUGUCGGGUAAGUUCCGACCCGCACGAAAGGCGUAAUGAUUUGGAUACUGUCUCGGAGAGGGGCUCGGUGAAAUAGACUUGUCUGUGAAGAUGCGGACUACCUGCACCAGGACAGAAAGACCCUAUGAAGCUUUACUGUAACUUGAAAUUGAAAUUGGACUUUAUUCGCGCAGUAUAGGUGGGAGGCGUUGAUUAUAAUCUUGUGGGAUUAUUGGAGCCAUCAGUGAGAUACCACUCUUGUAAUGUUAGAUUUCUAACUUUGAAUCAUUAUCUGGUCAAAGAACAGUUUCAGGCGGGCAGUUUGACUGGGGCGGUCGCCUCCUAAACGGUAACGGAGGCGUACAAAGGUUUCCUCUGAACGGUUAGAAAUCGUAUCUAGAGUGUAAAGGCAUAAGGAAGCUUGACUGUGAGACCUACAAGUCGAGCAGGGACGAAAGUCGGUCUUAGUGAUCUGACGGUACUGAGUGGAAAGGCCGUCACUCAACGGAUAAAAGUUACUCUAGGAUAACAGGCUGAUCUCCCCCAAGAGUUCACAUCGACGGGGAGGUUUGGCACCUUGAUGUCGGCUCAUCGCAUCCUGGGGCGGUAGUACGUCCCAAGGGUUGGGCUGUUCGCCCAUGAAAGCGGUACGCGAGCUGGGUUCAGAACGUCGUGAGACAGUUCGGUCCAUAUCCGGUGUAGGCGUUAGAAUAUUGAGAGGAGCCUUCUUUAGUACGAGAGGACCGAGAAGGACAUACCUCUGGUGUACCAGUUAUCGUGCCAACGGUAAACGCUGGGUAGCUAUGUAUGGAGUGGAUAACCGCUGAAAGCAUCUAAGUGGGAAGCCCACCUCAAGAUAAGUAUUCUCAU
rnacentral:rRNA from 1 species